rnacentral:rRNA from 1 species
GGCGACGUGGGGGGUUCGCUGCCCGGGACGUUUUGAGAAGUCCACUGAACCUUAUCAUUUAGAGGAAGGAGAAGUCGUAACAAGGUUUCCGUAGGUGAACCUGCGGAAGGAUCAUUG